rnacentral:rRNA from 1 species
GCAUAUCAAUAAGCGGAGGAAAAGAAACCAACAGGGAUUGCCCUAGUAACGGCGAGUGAAGCGGCAACAGCUCAAAUUUGAAAUCUGGCUCUUUCAGAGUCCGAGUUGUAAUUUGCAGAGGGCGCUUUGGCUUUGGCAGCGGUCCAAGUUCCUUGGAACAGGACGUCACAGAGGGUGAGAAUCCCGUACGUGGUCGCUAGCUAUUGCCGUGUAAAGCCCCUUCGACGAGUCGAGUUGUUUGGGAAUGCAGCUCUAAAUGGGAGGUAAAUUUCUUCUAAAGCUAAAUACUGGCCAGAGACCGAUAGCGCACAAGUAGAGUGAUCGAAAGAUGAAAAGCACUUUGGAAAGAGAGUCAAACAGCACGUGAAAUUGUUGAAAGGGAAGCGCUUGCAGCCAGACUUGCUUGCAGUUGCUCAUCCGGGCUUUUGCCCGGUGCACUCUUCUGUAGGCAGGCCAGCAUCAGUUUGGGCGGUGGGAUAAAGGUCUCUGUCACGUACCUCCUUUCGGGGAGGCCUUAUAGGGGAGACGACAUACCACCAGCCUGGACUGAGGUCCGCGCAUCUGCUAGGAUGCUGGCGUAAUGGCUGUAAGCGGCCCGUCUUGAAACACGGACCAAGGAGUCUAACAUCUAUGCGAGUGUUUGGGUGUCAAGCCCGAGCGCGUAAUGAAAGUGAACGGAGGUGGGAACCCGCAAGGGCGCACCAUCGACCGAUCCUGAAGUUUACGGAAGGAUUUGAGUAAGAGCAUGGCUGUUGGGACCCGAAAGAUGGUGAACUAUGCUUGAAUAGGGUGAAGCCAGAGGAAACUCUGGUGGAGGCUCGCAGCGGUUCUGACGUGCAAAUCGAUCGUCAAAUUUGGGCAUAGGGGGCGAAAGACUAAUCGAACUAUCUAGUAGCUGGUUCCUGCCGA